UUUACCUUAGUUUUAGCCAAAGUUGUUGCCGUUUCUUAUAUUAAAAAGAAAAGGUAAGAGGUCAUUGUUUUCAAAUUGUCUUGAUGCUUGAAUUGGGACUUAUAUUUUAAUGAUUGCACAUAGGACUUGUGGUCUUUAUUGAAGUUUACAGAGUUAUGUGUUCAAUCCUCUAAACUUUUUCUAUAACUGAUUGUGAGACAAUUUCAAAUCUUGACAGAAAUACUUUGUGUAGCUAUUCAGUUACGGGUGCAGUGUCUAGAAAUUAAGCCACUGAUUUAGAGUUUAGAACCACUGUUUCUCAUUUGUUGCUAAAAUGUUUGGUUGACGAUGUGAAAUUACAUGUGAUGUUUUCCUGAGACAAACUAAGUUUUGGAUUUGAGGUUAUAUGUCCUACUUGACAUCAACUCAAGAUGUGAUUUUAUUUUUCUUUCUGUGAAUUACUUCAUUAUAUAUUUCAGUGUUGGGAGUCAAUGACUUGAUGACUGCUUUCUUAAGUUGUUGACUAUCUAGGUUUUAUGUGGACUUCUUUUUUUUUUUCCGGGUCAUGACCAAAUACCACGAGAGACAUACCACAACAGUAAUAUGUGCAAUGCUAAGGUUACGGGUGCAGUGUCUAGAAAUUAAGCCACUGAUUUAGAGUUUAGAACCACUGUUUCUCAUUUGUUGCUAAAAUGUUUGGUUGACGAUGUGAAAUUACAUGUGAUGUUUUCCUGAGACAAACUAAGUUUUGGAUUUGAGGUUAUAUGUCCUACUUGACAUCAACUCAAGAUGUGAUUUUAUUUUUCUUUCUGUGAAUUACUUCAUUAUAUAUUUCAG